AGAUGUGAGGGUGAUCUUUCACCCCAUUGGUUUCCAGGGUUGAUUUGGUUGAUCAGGUGUCUCCUUCCUCCCUUAAUGUUCCAUAUGUGUCCCUCCUGAAACUGCAUGCUCCAUCUGAAGAGGGUGAGCUACCCUGAGAGAGGAGGACUGGUGUUUAGUCAAGGGUAUAUGAGUAGCUGCAAUCCCCUGCUAGAACCUCCAAAUAAGCUCUCAUUUAUUUUAUGCAUAUGAGUAUUUGUCUGCAUGUAUGUAAGUGCACCACAU
ensembl:misc_RNA 7SK 7SK RNA